GUGUCAGCCGCCGCGGUAAUACAGAGGGUGCGAGCGUUAAUCGGAUUUACUGGGCGUAAAGCGUGCGUAGGCGGCUUUUUAAGUCGGAUGUGAAGUCCCCGAGCUUAACUUGGGAAUUGCAUUCGAUACUGGGAAGCUAGAGUAUGGGAGAGGAUGGUAGAAUUCCAGGUGUAGCGGUGAAAUGCGUAGAGAUCUGGAGGAAUACCGAUGGCGAAGGCAGCCAUCUGGCCUAAUACUGACGCUGAGGUACGAAAGCAUGGGGAGCAAACAGGAUUAGAUACCCUGGUAGUCCAUGCCGUAAACGAUGUCUACUAGCCGUUGGGGCCUUUGAGGCUUUAGUGGCGCAGCUAACGCGAUAAGUAGACCGCCUGGGGAGUACGGUCGCAAGACUAAAACUCAAAUGAAUUGACGGGGGCCCGCACAAGCGGUGGAGCAUGUGGUUUAAUUCGAUGCAACGCGAAGAACCUUACCUGGCCUUGACAUACUAGAAACUUUCCAGAGAUGGAUUGGUGCCUUCGGGAAUCUAGAUACAGGUGCUGCAUGGCUGUCGUCAGCUCGUGUCGUGAGAUGUUGGGUUAAGUCCCGCAACGAGCGCAACCCUUUUCCUUACUUGCCAGCAUUUCGGAUGGGAACUUUAAGGAUACUGCCAGUGACAAACUGGAGGAAGGCGGGGACGACGUCAAGUCAUCAUGGCCCUUACGGCCAGGGCUACACACGUGCUACAAUGGUCGGUACAAAGGGUUGCUACACAGCGAUGUGAUGCUAAUCUCAAAAAGCCGAUCGUAGUCCGGAUUGGAGUCUGCAACUCGACUCCGUGAAGUCGGAAUCGCUAGUAAUCGCGGAUCAGAAUGCCGCGGUGAAUACGUUCCCGGGCCUUGCACACACCGCCCGUC
rnacentral:rRNA from 1 species